UAGGGAAUCUUCCACAAUGGGCGCAAGCCUGAUGGAGCAACACCGCGUGAGUGAAGAAGGGUUUCGGCUCGUAAAACACUGUUGUAAGAGAAGAAUGACAUUGAGAGUAACUGUUCAAUGUGUGACGGUAUCUUACCAGAAAGGAACGGCUAAAUACGUGCCUAG
rnacentral:rRNA from 1 species